UUUCCAGACUCCUACGGGAGGCAGCAGUGGGGAAUAUUGCACAAUGGGGGAAACCCUGAUGCAGCGACGCCGCGUGGGUGAAGGAGUAUUUCGGUAUGUAAGUCCCUAUCAGCAGGGAAGAUAAUGACGGUACCUGACUAAGAAGCCCCGGCUAACUACGUGCCAGCAGCCGCGGUAAUACGUAGGGGGCAAGCGUUAUCCGGAUUUACUGGGUGUAAAGGGAGCGUAGACGGCAGCGCAAGCCUGGAGUGAAAGGAUGGGGCCCAACCCCAUGACUGCUCUGGGAACUGUGCGGCUAGAGUGCCGGAGGGGUAAGCGGAAUUCCUAGUGUAGCGGUGAAAUGCGUAGAUAUUAGGAGGAACACCAGUGGCGAAGGCGGCUUACUGGACGGUAACUGACGUUGAGGCUCGAAAGCGUGGGGAGCAAACGGGAUUAGAUACCCCUGUAC
rnacentral:rRNA from 1 species